AGUAAAAUGCCUGAAUAAAGGAUUAUUUUGAUGUAAUAAAAAAUGUGUUAUAAAAUCACUUUUACUA
rnacentral:tRNA from 1 species